AACGAACGCUGGCGGCAUGCCUAACACAUGCAAGUCGAACGAGACCUUCGGGUCUAGUGGCGCACGGGUGCGUAACGCGUGGGAACCUGCCUUUAGGUUCGGAAUAACUCAGAGAAAUUUGAGCUAAUACCGGAUGAUGUCUUCGGACCAAAGAUUUAUCGCCUUUAGAUGGGCCCGCGUUGGAUUAGCUAGUUGGUGGGGUAAAGGCCUACCAAGGCGACGAUCCAUAGCUGGUCUGAGAGGAUGAUCAGCCACACUGGGACUGAGACACGGCCCAGACUCCUACGGGAGGCAGGAGUGGGGAAUAUUGGACAAUGGGCGAAGGCCUGAUCCAGCAAUGCCGCGUGAGUGAUGAAGGCCUUAGGGUUGUAAAGCUCUUUUACCCGAGAUGAUAAUGACGGUAUCGGGAGAAUAAGCUCCGGCUAACUCCGUG
rnacentral:rRNA from 1 species